UGGGGAAUAUUGGACAAUGGGCGAAAGCCUGAUCCAGCCAUGCCGCGUGUGUGAAGAAGGUCUUCGGAUUGUAAAGCACUUUAAGUUGGGAGGAAGGGCAGUAAGCGAAUACCUUGCUGUUUUGACGUUACCGACAGAAUAAGCACCGGCUAACUCUGUGCCAGCAGCCGCGGUAAUACAGAGGGUGCAAGCGUUAAUCGGAAUUACUGGGCGUAAAGCGCGCGUAGGUGGUUCGUUAAGUUGAAUGUGAAAGCCCCGGGCUCAACCUGGGAACUGCAUCCAAAACUGGCGAGCUAGAGUAGGGCAGAGGGUGGUGGAAUUUCCUGUGUAGCGGUGAAAUGCGUAGAUAUAGGAAGGAACACCAGUGGCGAAGGCGACCACCUGGACUCAUACUGACACUGAGGUGCGAAAGCGUGGGGAGCAAACAGG
rnacentral:rRNA from 1 species